rnacentral:rRNA from 1 species
GACGUAGGGCGCGAGCGUUGUCCGGAUUUAUUGGGCGUAAAGAGCUCGUAGGCGGCUUGUUGCGUCGACUGUGAAAACCCGCGGCUUAACUGCGGGCUUGCAGUUGAUACGGGCAGGCUAGAGUUCGGUAGGGGAGACUGGAAUUCCUGGUGUAGCGGUGAAAUGCGCAGAUAUCAGGAGGAACACCGGUGGCGAAGGCGGGUCUCUGGGCAUUAACUGACGCUGAGGAGCGAAAGCAUGGGGAGCGAACAGG